UACGGGGGGAGCAAGCGUUGUUCGGAUUUACUGGGCGUAAAGGGCGCGUAGGCGGCCACCGCAAGUCGACUGUGAAAUCUCCGGGCUUAACCCGGGAAAGGUCAGCCGAUACUGCGGGGCUAGAGUGCAGAAGGGGCAACUGGAAUUCUCGGUGUAGCGGUGAAAUGCGUAGAUAUCGAGAGGAACACCUGCGGCGAAGGCGGGUUGCUGGGCUGACACUGACGUGAGGCGCGAAAGCUAGGGGAGCGAACGGGA
rnacentral:rRNA from 1 species